CAAUGUACAUGUAUAAGCUGUAACGCAAUGAGUUGCUAUCCAUAAUCCUAAUUAAUCUUACAUUCCAAGUUGUUGGCUCACUGAUCCUGACCUCAAGGAGACCAUUAAGAAUACUGAACUAAAGUAGUUAUAUCAAGCUUUUAUGAGUAAAUUUACAUUUCCAGGUCAGGAAAAAUUCCAUUCCAAGUAACUUAAAAGUUCUUUUUGAUAUGAUCUCCAAACUACUCUGAAGAAUCUGAAGAAUCAUGAGAGACUAAGACUCC
rnacentral:lncRNA from 1 species